UAACACUAAUCUAUUACUAUUACAUAAGCAUAACUCUUGAGACUUCCCGAACGACUUCAAACCUGCAACACUGGGGUUAGGGGAGAGGGGUGAGCUAAAAAGCCUAGUGAGUAGAAACAGAAGAAAAACAGUUCAUUAAUUACAUGCUUUCAUGAAAUGCGUCACAGCACAAACAUUUCACAUCAAGGAUUGGACCUAAC
rnacentral:lncRNA from 1 species